rnacentral:rRNA from 1 species
AGAAGGUGUGCAGGGUGCAUGGUGGAUGCCUAAGGCGUCACGGGCCGAAGAAGGACGUGGUUAGCUGCGAAAAGCGGCGGGGAGCUGCUAGCAAGCGUUGAGCCGCCGAUGUCCGAAUGGGGCAACCCCACCCGGGUCAUGCCGGGUGACUCCCCUCGUAACGGAGGGGUAGAGGCCAGUCCGGGAACUGAAACAUCUCAGUACCGGGAGGAAGAGACAUCAACCGAGAUUCCCCAAGUAGUGGCGAGCGAACGGGGAGCAGCCCAAACCGACGCAUGCGCAAUACCGGCCACGGGUUGCAUGCGCGGGGUUGACAGCCGCACCGGCCGCGAGGUGGCCCUCCGCGGCGGCAGUUGGAGAAAACCCAGAGCGACCUGAACGUCCCUGGAACGGGCGGCCAGAGGGGGUGAGAGCCCCGUGCCGGCGGUGCGUGCGCGAAUACCACGGGACACGAGAAAUCCAGUGGGAAGCUGGGGGGACCACCCUCCAAAGCUCAAAACCCGUGACGACCGAUAGUGAACGAGUACCGUGAGGGAAAGGUGAAAAGCACCCCGGGAGGGGAAUGAAAGAGAACCUGAAACCAUGCACUUACAAGCAGUCAGAGGGCGGUCCCACUUCGGUGGGUGCCUGAUGGCGUGCCUUUUGUGGAAUGAACCGGCGAGUUACGCGGCAGUGCGUCCAGGUUAAGGAUGAAGACAUCCGGAGCCGGAGCGAAAGCGAGUCCGAACAGGGCGCCUUAGUACUGUCGAGUAGACCCGAAACCGCGUGAGCUAUCCAUGGCCAGGCUGAAGCGAAGCUAACCCUUCGUGGAGGGCCGAACUCACCAGAGU